UGGGGAAUUUUGGACAAUGGGCGAAAGCCUGAUCCAGCAAUGCCGCGUGUGUGAAGAAGGCCUUCGGGUUGUAAAGCACUUUUGUCCGGAAAGAAAUCCUUGGCUCUAAUACAGUCGGGGGAUGACGGUACCGGAAGAAUAAGCACCGGCUAACUACGUGCCAGCAGCCGCGGUAAUACGUAGGGUGCAAGCGUUAAUCGGAAUUACUGGGCGUAAAGCGUGCGCAGGCGGUUUGCUAAGACCGAUGUGAAAUCCCCGGGCUCAACCUGGGAACUGCAUUGGUGACUGGCAGGCUAGAGUAUGGCAGAGGGGGGUAGAAUUCCACGUGUAGCAGUGAAAUGCGUAGAGAUGUGGAGGAAUACCGAUGGCGAAGGCAGCCCCCUGGGCCAAUACUGACGCUCAUGCGCGAAAGCGUGGGGAGCAAACAGGAUUAGAUACCCUGGUAGUCCACGCCCUAAACGAUGUCAACUAGUUGUUGGGGAUCAUUUCCUUAGUAACGUAGCUAACGCGUGAAGUUGACCGCCUGGGGAGUACGGUCGCAAGAUUAAAACUCAAAGGAAUUGACGGGGUCAUAGCUGUUUCCU
rnacentral:rRNA from 1 species